rnacentral:misc_RNA from 1 species
UCCGAGUUAACCCCGGCAGCCUCCCGCGAGUCCCCAACACAGCUUGCUGGCAACACGGGAUAAGGGUUGCGCUCGUUGCGGGACUUAACCCAACACCUCACGGCACGAGCUGACGACAGCCAUGCAGCACCUGAACCGGCAGUCCCCGAAGGGAAGGUCCUAUUUCUAGGACGGUCCGCCGUUGUCUAGCCCAGGUAAGGUUCUUCGCGUUGCGUCGAAUUGAACCACAUGCUCCACCGCUUGUGCGGGCCCCCGUCAAUUUCUUUGAGUUUUAACCUUGCGGCCGUACUCCCCAGGCGGAUGACUUAAUGCGUUAGCUGCGCCACCGAAAGCCUAAGGCCCCCGACAGCUAGUCAUCAUCGUUUACGGCGUGGACUAC